GCACCGGGAACUAGAGGGAUGCCAGGUCCCUUCCGCAUCCUUGGUAUUUUCCUGCCGAGGGUCUGACCAUUGCCGCUCUCAGGCACCUGCCUUUCCUCUCCGUCCAGGAAUGGAGCCAAGACAAGGGAAUAAAGGAAAUAAAAUAAUACAAGGAGAUCGGGUGUCUGAGCAGCGUCUUGGGUAAAACCGUCCAUGACAGGCCUAGUAUGCCCUAGUAAAACAACUCACCAGCAUCCAGAAGUUUCCUCACACGCAGAUAGCUGAUGGUAAGCCUCAUAACAGAAGCCUUAUCAAGAUGCGAACUCACGUUAUGGGGAAGUGGCAACUGAUGAGCAAGCUCAUAAAAAACUUCAGACUCUUUACUUCGCCGAGAUCUGGCUGCAUCUCUAGACUUUUCUUUUCGACGUUCAGAACUUAUCCUAUUUAACAAAAAGGAAUGGGAGGGGGGAGAAAAGAGACAGGAAAUUUAUGUUAGUUUGCCUUUGCUUGAAUAAACUAAAUUUACAUUCUGCUUA